CCAAUAGCGUAUAUUAAAGUUGUUGCAGUUAAAAAGCUCGUAGUUGAAUUUCGGGGCCAGUAAGUUGGUCGUGCCACUGGUAUGUACUGGCUUUACUGGUCUCUCCUUCUUGAAGAACCGUGAUGUCAUUAAUUUGGUGUUGCGGGGAAACAGGACUGUUACUUUGAAAAAAUUAGAGUGCUUAAAGCAGGCUUACGCUUGAAUACAUUAGCAUGGAAUAACGAAAUAGGACGCUCGAUUCUAUUUUGUUGGUUUCUAGGAUCGACGUAAUGAUUAAUAGGGAUAGUUGGGGGCAUUAGUAUUCAAUUGUCAGAGGUGAAAUUCUUGGAUUUAUUGAAGACUAACUACUGCGAAAGCAUUUGCCAAGGAUGUUUUCAUUAAUCAAGAACGAAAGUUAGGGGAUCGAAGACGAUCAGAUACCGUCGUAGUCUUAACCAUAAACUAUGCCGACUAGGGAUCGGAUGAAGUUAAUUUUUUAAUGACUCAUUCGGCGCCUUACG
rnacentral:rRNA from 1 species